GCUGAAAAGAGAAUACAUGAAGCAUUAAAAGUGCUAUUUUCGUGAACAUCAAAGGGCUGCUGGUUGGUAUUUUCAAGUAGCCAUUCGGCCAACAACAUGCUUGGCGUUUCCUCUCUUCAAGGCUAAGCUUUACACUACCCAAAGAAGCUGUUUUGUGUGCCAAGACGUCACUAAUGCUGCUGCUGAUCAUUAGGAUUCUCAAGGCUGAUUUAAUGAAGAGAAUUUAAGUCAUUAUCUACUAAAAACGUUGAACUCUUCCAGCCUUAGAAAUCAACUCAUUUGUUCAGCUGAAUUGGGACUUUAAGCUGCUGCCCAUUACCGUUUCCAAGGCCUAGAAUAUUUCAAAAAGCAUUGAGCUUAGUUAUUAAGAUAUUUCAGCUUAUUAAUUUAGCUCAAUUAAAUCUGUUUAUUGUGACUAUUCGGUUGGGCACUUCUUAGACUAUAAAUAGUUUGUUUGUAAUCAUUUUCGGGUUAGACAAUAUACUUUUGAAUCUUAUAUGAUAUAUGAUUACUUUGUGAGUUUGUUUUCAACUCUCAUUGUUCUCCAAAGACUCGUCUGACUUAUCAAGUAACCCUUGUGGCGUCAACCGUCUUUCUAUCCGAACUUAUCACUUUAAUCCCAAAAGUGUGGCGUUCAAGUUAUACCGAGGUUCCUAUCAUCUUUGAUAGUGGGUCAAGGUUCCAUUUUAU
rnacentral:lncRNA from 1 species